rnacentral:lncRNA from 1 species
CAAAAAGGCUCUGUGGUUGGAGCUAGUGAGACAAGGCCUGCCUUGUCCGGGAGAAGCUGUGGGGAGCUCAGAGUCCUGGAGUUCUGUGGCUCAUGUGUGCAAGCCACUGGUCCUAGGAUUUGUGCUUGUAGCGAACAGAAUGAUUUCACCUGAAAGUGCUUGUUAGAGGCCACCAGCUUUAUGAUAACCAUAGAGAAAGCUCUCACUUCCUGAUCCCUGAUGAGCUGUGGCUUGGCUGUGCCUCCAAGUGCUCUCCUUUCAUCUUCAGCUGAAUCUUGCACCUGGCCAGCUCCUUGGAACAACUCCCUUGAAUUUCUGAGAGGCCCGGCAGGAGUGAAAUAAAGGAUCUAGUUAAUUGGUGGGCACCUGGCAGAACUUCCAGCAAUGCUUAGCUCCACCAAAGGGGAGCUCACUGAGGAUGUUGGGAUGAUAAUGAGGCAAUAUCUGAGAGCCAUCUCGCUGUAAUGCUGAAAGGAGGAAGGUGCCUUUGCUUGGCAAUGCUCUUAUUUUUAUCCUCUAAGAUUUGGAACUUUCCGCCCUUUACAGCACGAGACACUCUCCUUUACCAGGAAAUAGAAAAGAAAGAUUUUUCUACAAAUUUAAGGGUGAUAGUGGAACCUUCCCAAUUAAUGCUGGAGCCCCGGCCUGUUUAAUCAACAGGAAGUCAAUCAUCUCCCUCUUCUGUGAAUUUGUACAAGGGCUCCAGGGGCUGGAUCAGUUCAAGGUCUGGGAGUGGGGAAUGUGGCCAUGGUCAGUCCUCAUUUGAUGCCUUCCGAGCCCUCUCCAUGUGGAAGGAACUGGAGUCAGUCCUGCUGUGGAGUCCUCGUAUCCCCACUGUUUCUUGCGGCUGCAUGGUGUCACUGUUGGAGCUGAGUCCUGCACGAUCCCCGGUUUGCUAGUCCACCCUGUCCUGGAGACGCUCUCUAAGGCUAUGUCUCAUUCUUCUGUCUAACAACUGUUGUGAAGGAGGCCGUUGGGAUACGGGUUAUGCGGUUACACUUUUUGUUGGAUAAAAGGAAAAAAGAUGGA